rnacentral:rRNA from 1 species
UAUGACUGGGGUGAAGUCGUAACAAGGUAGCCGUACCGGAAGGUGUGGCUGGAUCACCUCCUUU